UUGUUUGCUGCUGUGGCAUCAUCAAGAUUCACAUCGCCAGAUGGACGGUGGUGAUUCACCCUCCCCAAAGUUCUCUGAUGAAAAUGAGAAUCUUGAUGAUGCUGCAUCGGAAAUCAA
rfam:Brassica napus, WGS project CCCW01000000 data, contig: 34077